AAAUGAAUAGACGGGGGCCCGCACAAGCAGUGGAGUAUGUGGUUUAAUUCGAAGCAACGCGAAAAACCUUACCAGGUCUUGACAUCGUGCGCAUAACCUAGAGAUAGGUGAAGUCCUUCGGGACGCACAGACAGGUGGUGCAUGGUUGUCGUCAGCUCGUGUCGUGAGAUGUUGGGUUAAGUCCCGCAACGAGCGCAACCCUUAUUGUUAGUUGCUACGCAAGAGCACUCUAGCGAGACUGCCGUUGACAAAACGGAGGAAGGUGGGGAUGACGUCAAAUCAUCAUGCCCUUUAUGACCUGGGCUACACACGUACUACAAUGGCUAUGAACAGAGGGAAGCGACAUCGCGAGGUGAAGCGGAACCCAAAAAAUAGUCCCAGUUCGGAUUGUAGGCUGCAACUCGCCUACAUGAAGCCGGAAUUGCUAGUAAUCGCAGAUCAGCAUGCUGCGGUGAAUACGUUCCCGGGCCUUGUACACACCGCCCGU
rnacentral:rRNA from 1 species